rnacentral:tRNA from 1 species
GGGGAAUUAGCUCAAAUGGUAGAGCGCUCGCUUAGCAUGCGAGAGGUAGCGGGAUCGAUACCCGCGUUCUCCA